rnacentral:rRNA from 1 species
AGAACGACUCUCGGCAACGGAUAUCUCGGCUCUCGCAUCGAUGAAGAACGUAGCGAAAUGCGAUACUUGGUGUGAAUUGCAGAAUCCCGUGAACCAUCGAGUCUUUGAACGCAAGUUGCGCCCGAAGCCUUCGGGCCGAGGGCACGUCUGCCUGGGCGUCUCGC